AACAACACCCCGUUUAUUAGUUUCUUCUUUGUUCAUCAUUUUGCUUAAUAGAAGUUACACAAAAUUGGGGGCGAUAUAUUGUCUUUGCAGACUGUCAUUUGCAGAGGAGUCAUGAAUAAUGAUUCCAAAGCCCCUAGUUUAGCUCCUGAAUCAGACAAAGAAUAAAUGACAACAUAAGAAUGAAUUUUGUUUACAGCAAUAUUAUAAUACAACAUUGAAUUACUGCAGUGAAGUGGUUGCAGUUUUCACAAUAAAAUAUUACUAGCUCAAACACUAGACAAACUAAAAUCACCCGACUGCUUACAAACCGAAGUGAUCAGUGCAAGCAGUUGUUGCCUCAAUAGCGAAAAGCAAAAUCGGUAAGGCUUUUCUGGCAGUCUCUGACAUGAACGCUCCAUCUCUGCUCAGUGAGGACCUGGGCAGCCACACUUUGAAUCUUGGUCUUCCUUUUUAUCUAAAAGGGUGAAGUAGAUCCCCAGCUUUCUCAGUUCUCCCACCAGGUCCUCAUUCUGGCACAUCUGCAGAAGAAUGUUACAGCCCCUGACAAACUCUCCAUUGAGGUAUGCUUGUGGGAUGGUGGGCCGGUUGGAAUAGUCUUAAUAGAAGCACUUUGAGUCCAAAGCAGAUAAAUAAAAGUAGAUCUAUACCUAAGGUCAUGCCAUUGGAAAUCUACAGAAUACUAAGGAAAUUUGAAAGCAACCAGCAGGACAAAUUACCUAUAAACAGCAAACUAAUAGCCUUCUCAUCAGUAAUUAUACAGGUCCAAAAUUAUGUAUAUACAGAUGCUAACACAUGGUAAAUGUUCAAUGAGUGAUAAAAUAUUAACUUUGAGAACAGAUAUGAUGAUGGCUAUCUUUUUUUGGAAAAAGGAAAUGUGAUCUUUCAAAAGGCAAAACAUCAGAGAAUCUUGGGGUUGGAGAAGACUGAAAAAUGACUCAGUUCAUUUCUAUAGAUAUAAAUAUUUUGCUUAACCAGGGCCAGUGUGUGUUCAUCCCAAGAGAUCUUGUCUAAUAUUCAAACAGGCAGUUAAGGAGGCUGUCCUCUUCCUAUCAAGGUAUGUGUUCACAUGGAAAUUAGGCAGCUAUUUAACAGGUCUGAGGGAUGUUUCUGUAUUGAGACUGACCCAGUAGCCUCUGCGAUUACUUGCAAUAACAUCUCUGGAUGUUAGUAAUAUGAGAAACUCAUUUUGCGUGUAAUACUUCAUAUUUUUCAAAACAAUCCUGUGAAGGAGUUAAGGCAGGUAUUUGAAUUCUCAUUUUAGGUAAAACCU
rnacentral:lncRNA from 1 species